rnacentral:rRNA from 1 species
ACCCAGACUCCUACGGGAGGCAGCAGUGGGGGAUAUUGCACAAUGGGGGAAACCCUGAUGCAGCGACGCCGCGUGAGUGAAGAAGUAUUUCGGUAUGUAAAGCUCUCUCAGCAGGGACGAAAAUGACGGUACCUGAGUAAGAAGCCCCGGCUAACUACGUGCCAGCAGCCGCGGUAAUACGUAGGGGGCAAGCGUUAUCCGGAUUUACUGGGUGUAAAGGGAGCGUAGACGGUUAUGCAAGUCUGGAGUGAAAGCCCGGGGCUCAACCCCGGGACUGCAUUUGAAACUGCCGUGCUGGAGUGUCGGAGAGGCAAGUGGAAUUCCUAGUGUAGCGGUGAAAUGCGUAGAUAUUAGGAGGAACACCAGUGGCGAAGGCGGCUUGCUGGACGAUAACUGACGCUGAGGCUCGAAAGCGUGGGGAGCAAACAGGAUUAGAUACCCGCGUAGC